AAAUCGUUCGACGAGGAUCUAUUGGAGGGCAAGUCUGGUGCCAGCAGCCGCGGUAAUUCCAGCUCCAAUAGCGUAUAUUAAAGUUGUUGCAGUUAAAAAGCUCGUAGUUGGAUCUGGGGUUCGGGUCGGCGGUUUGCCGCUUCGGCGGCUACUGCCGCGCUCGACUCUUACUAGCCGGUGCGUCUUGCGGUGCUCUUCAUCGAGUGCCGUAGGAGCCUGGCAUGUUUACUUUGAAGAAAUUAGAGUGCUCAAAGCAGGCGAUUCCGCCUGAAUAGUGUUGCAUGGAAUAAUGGAAUAGGACCUCGGUUCUAUUUUGUUGGUUUUCGGAACUUGAGGUAAUGAUUAAGAGGGACGGUCGGGGGCAUUCGUAUUUCGGUGUUAGAGGUGAAAUUCUUGGAUCGCUGAAAGACGGACAAAUGCGAAAGCAUCUGCCAAGAACGUCUCCAUUAAUCAAGAACGAAAGUCAGAGGUUCGAAGACGAUCAGACACCGUCCUAGUUCUGACCAUAAACGAUGCCAACUAGCGAUCCGCAGUGGUUGCUAUAAACGGACUCUGCGAGCAGCUUCCGGGAAACCAAAGUGUUUGGGUUCCGGGGGAAGUAUGGUUGCAAAGCUGAAACUUAAAGGAAUUGACGGAAGGGCACCACCAGGAGUGGAGCCUGCGGCUUAAUUUGACCCAACACGGGGAAACUCACCCGGUCCGGACACUGUAAGGAUUGACAGAUCGAGAGCUCUUUCUUGAUUCGGUGGAUGGUGGUGCAUGGCCGUUCUUAGUUGGUGGAGUGAUUUGUCUGGUUAAUUCCGAUAACGAACGAGGCUCUAGCCUGCUAACUAGUUGCGCCGUGUUCAUACGCGGCUGUAGACUUCUUAGAGGGACAGGUGGCGUUUAGCCACACGAAAUUGAGCAAUAACAGGUCUGUGAUGCCCUUAGAUGUCCGGGGCCGCACGCGCGCUACACUGAAGGAGUCAGCGUGUGCUAUCCGGGCUCGGAAGAGUUCGGUAACCCGUUGAAACUCCUUCGUGCUUGGGAUUGUGGCUUGUAAUUAUCGCGCAUGAACGAGGAAUUCCCAGUAAGUGCAAGUCAUCAGCUUGCGCUGACUACGUCCCUGCCCUUUGUACACACCGCCCGUCGCUACUACCGAUUGAAUGGUUUAGCAAGGUACUCGGAUUGGUCUCGAUCUUGUACGAAAGUGCGGGAUCUGUGGCCGAGAAGAAGGCCAAACUUGAUCAUUUAGAGGAAGUAAA
rnacentral:rRNA from 1 species